UACGGAGGGUGCGAGCGUUGUCCGGAAUCAUUGGGCGUAAAGGGCGCGUAGGUGGCCCGGUCAGUCUUUGGUGAAAGCGCGGGGCUCAACCCUGCGUCGGCCAGGGAUACUGCCGCGGCUGGAGCACUGUAGAGGCAGGCGGAAUUCCGGGUGUAGCGGUGGAAUGCGUAGAGAUCCGGAAGAACACCGGUGGUGAAGGCGGCCUGCUGGCAGUUUGCUGACACUGAGGCGCGACAGCGUGGGGAGCAAACAGG
rnacentral:rRNA from 1 species